UACGUAGGUGGCAAGCGUUGUCCGGAAUUAUUGGGCGUGAAGCGCGCGCAGGUGGUUUCUUAAGUCUGAUGUGAAAGCCCACGGCUCAACCGUGGAGGGUCAUUGGAAACUGGGGAACUUGAGUGCAGAAGAGGAAAGUGGAAUUCCAAGUGUAGCGGUGAAAUGCGUAGAGAUUUGGAAGAACACCAAUAAAGGCGAAGGCAAUUAACUAUUCUGUUACUGACAUUGAGGCACGAAAGCGUGGGGAGCAAAACGG
rnacentral:rRNA from 1 species